rnacentral:rRNA from 1 species
AAAAGACCAACAAAUGAUCUAAUUUUAGAUAGUUUUUGGGGACUCGCGUUGGAUUUGAUAGAUGGGUAGGUGAAAGUGUGUUAAUUAAGCUGUCCAUGUCUUAUCUAUAGCUUAUCUUGAUGGUGUUAAGCCACAAUGGCAUUGAAAAAAGGGCCAUACAAGUUUAUCUUGGCAGCAGUAGUGAAUUUUGGACAAUGGAAAGAAAAUGUGAUCCAGAUCUAAAGAGUGUUUUAAAAAACAAAUGAAAGUUCCGACCAAUUCUGUGCCAGCAGUCGCGGUAAUACAGAUGGAGCAAGCUUCCUGCGUUUUGAUUAGGUUUACAGCGUGUGGCAGCGUUUAUUGUUAUAGAAAGUCCCGUUAUAUGGUGGUUACAUCAUCCCAGGAAAUCAAUACCCAGAAGCUAUCACUUACGGGGGCAGAAUAACGGGUUAAAUAUGACGGGAUUAAAAAGGUAAAGGAAUUUUCCAUGAAUCGGUCAAAUGAUAGAAUAUGGGAAGGAACGCCAAAGGCGAAGGCAUUUACUAAACUCUAACAGAAGCCCAAACACGGAAGUCCGAGGAGCAAAACGGAUUAGAUACCCGUGUAGUUCGGACCGUCAAUUGUCUCUUUUUAAAUAGAUCACCUGAUGACACGGCGGCUACGCUUUAAGUCAAAGCAAUAGGCGGAGAUCAAUAAAUGCGGUGGAGCAUGCGGUUUAAUGCGACAAUCCCCGCAAAACCUUACCACUU